ACCCCCCCUACACUUCUAAAAAAUAAAAUUGCGUCCUCUAAAAAACGCAAGGUAAGGCCUAAAAAAUGUAACAUUUCAAUGGACUAUGUCAGUUAUCGCCUCGGCGACGCAGCGAUCCCGUAAGACUAUUGAAAAAUGAUAGUCCCCGUACUGUUAUUCGCGAUCGACUGCGCCUGUCGGGACGACAAUUGUACUUCAAACUCAAAUUUUAUAGAUGGCGCUUAUAGUAGUACUUAGAUUGCGUCCUUCGCCUUUUAAAAGGUGGUAGGUAGCAUUAAUAUGUAAUUUGUACAUACAUAUUAUAUAAUCGUGAUUACGUGACCUGAUUGAUAAUCAUUAAAAUUAGACAAAAAUAACUAGUCUCGAAUCGUAUUAUGUAGAUAGGCGUGCGAAGGUCGUCCACGUACCUUUCGAUUUGAUCUGCUUAUACAGCUUGUUACGACGUUUGCCACUUCAUUAAAUAGGCAAUAAAUAAUUCAUCUGUAGGGUAUACAACGAAAUAUAACACAUGACUAUUGAGCGCCAUUUUAUCUCAAUAAGGAAUGUUAGUCGGUGUAAGAGGAGUGGGUCGGCCGGUGCCGUGUCGAGUACGGGACGCCCGCGACAGCGUUCUAGUUCCUCUAUUGCACUCAAUUUACAAACAAAGUACAAAAUACACGAUAGCGUGACGUCACGUACCUGCACUCGGUGUACUGCCGUAGGUGCGACGCACACGCGGCGCGUACACGCGGCACGCACACGCGGCGCGUACACGCGGCGCGUCCCGCGUGACUCACUACCGUCGGCGAGUAGAUCACAGGUAUAAUAGAUUUUUGAAGUGUUUACUCGUUUUGAAUACAGUUAAAUUGUCAUUUUUGUAUGAUAGUAUGAUACGGAGAGUUGUACGGAGUUGUUUUGUACCGCGACGUGUCCGCACGUCUGUUUUUCGCGCGUGGCCAUCGUCGGGCGACAGGUGCCCGAGUUAACGUUUUAAUUUGUCUAUUGUGAUAAAAGGUAUUGUAUUGAUAUUGGAACGACUGAUUACGAGCAAACGCGACAUCACGGCCAACAAAAUUGAAUAAUUUACGGAGUCCGCGUUUGCUCCCGUAUUAGAGGUGUCACGGCUCUGUGACGUCGCCUCGAGUUUUUGAUCUCGAAUUACGACUGAUCGCGCCGGCGGCCGCGCCGGACCACGUGACUCGUAACACGCCGCGUGCAACACGACGCGUGCAACACGACGCGUGCAACACGACGCGUGAAACACGUCGCGGGACGUGACGCGUGGUCCGGCGCGGCCGCGCGAGCCUAACGUGAUUCCUUCAUAGAUUAACGUUUAUAUUUUACCAGUUUUUUAAAUGUCAAUUGAUAUGAAGACGAGUUUGCGCGCUGUUUAUGUGCAAUAACAAUGGACGGUGUCGCAGUGUGUGAGUGAGUUGUGGAGGUGACGCGGCGGCCGAGUGUCGGUCCCGCGCCGCCGGGCCCGGGCCCCGGGACCCGCUUCCCGGACCCCGGGACGGAGCGCAUCCUCGUCGUUCGUACAAAUUACAUCGGUUGUACUCUAGUUAUAUAUUUAUGUUAGUAGUUUUUUAGCGGGGCUAAAAUAUUCUGUUAAUUGUGUUGUGUUAUAAAACGAAAAAAAAUAAACGAUUUAAAAAAAAAUGUGGUGCGAGUGGAUACAGUGGAUUUAACGAUAAAGACAUUUAACAAAUUUUCAAAUUAAUAUUAUAAAAAGUACUAAAACUUUUUUAAAAAAAUUGCUUUGAUAAUGUAUGUACAUAGUGUUAAGUUACGUAGUUAUUAAGAGCAGACUUAGAUGUAGUAGUAUAACAAAUUGCAUGGCGGAGGCGUUCGAAGCCCAACCUAUUGUUAACUUUCUUCUCCUUUGUGUUAUUUUUUUAUUCUACAAUAGUUUUCGUUACUGACAUUUUGUUAUGGUACCGGCCGCGGGCGGCUGUCUCGAGCUCGCUUGAUGAUCGCUUCUGAAGACAACUGUUCAACUAUCUCUCAGAUAUUCAAUUAUAGUAUCAGCGCCGACGCUCACUGUGGCACCGAAGAGUAGUCGAUGACAAUCAAAACACCACCUCAUCUCAUUCCGAAACUGCUGCUAUUAGCAUAACAAAAACGACAAUAUAUUAAAUCAGACUCUUCACAGCCACUGUUAGCCGGCACUGACAGCUAAAAUCUUUCGUGCUAAAAGUAUCUCUACACACAGUCUUCAGAAAGCUAAGCUCAUCAAAUAUGUAUAUUUUUCAAUGAUAAGUGUGCGCAAAUUUUGGUAAUCAGGAGCGAUGCGUACUUUUAACUGUACAUCAUCACUGCCUCGUCACUCAGCGCCAGACUAUUAACCCUCAUAGUAUAAUGUGUAGCAGUGCAAAUAAGUGUUUAUAUUCAAUCAAUUCAAAUAGCGGUUGUAACGUUUUAUGACGACUUUUUGUAAUUUUUGUAACGUCAGUUCAAUAUAAUCGCUAUUGUAAUUGAAUUUCAUAUUAAAUCUGACGCUGAGUACAUUCGUUAACGGAAGAUUAUGAGCUCGAAGCAACCGCGCCUGCUUCAAUCAGCGGUAAUAUGUAAAAUGAGAAAAAUAAUUUAUGUUUUUUAUAUAUUGAUUAUUAACAAACGUAAUAAAGAGUGAGCAAAAUUGCACAUCUUCGAUAUCAGUGUUUUAUUAUUCCCAUGUGUUUGUGAUGUCUACCAUUAUUACAAAUGGCUCAAUAACAGAACCGAAAGGUUAUAAAUCUUUAUUGAUUAAAUAUCAAAAUUCUAAAAAUACUGCUUUAGGAACACCCAUGUUACAUUACUAUCUUGAAUUCUUUGUGUUUAAUUCUCUUAGCACUCAGACCAUGUAUAUUAUAAUUCUCUUUGACUCAGACUCAGUAUUUGAUAGACAAUUUAAUAUCAGUAAACGAGAUCAGUAAAUCAAAAUUUGACACUCAGGUCCCAUAUCUAUUAUGAUUCUCUUUGGUGAAGCCAUUCAAUUCAGAGCAUUUAUAAUAAUUCAAUUUUACUUACUCUAUGAUUCAAUUCUAACUUCUCAAAUUCUAGUUAUUCCGAUGUGUUAAAAAAAUAUGGAUUCUUUAAUGGUUUUGAAAAAGCCUUUAAAGAAAAUCCACUUCUCGAAAUCUCUGAAACCGAAUAAAUUAUCAAUUCUACCACAAUAUUGCUCGACAAUCAGUGAAAUACAGGAAGAUCCCUUUCCUGAGUUUUGUGAGCGUCAAUUUGCGUGCGAACAUAAAAUAUCCUUUGUGAAACUGUAUUUCGAUGCGUGCGUGAAUAAUGAAAAAUCAAAAAAAUGUCAUUGUAAUGAGGGGGGAGACACAAGCCCCCCAACGCCGAUGGUGACCACUCACCUCGUCAUGGAGAUGGAAUACGGACAAUAAACUAAAUAUAAUUGUUCGUAGAAAUAAAAGAUAUUUUCCUCCAAACUUAUUUUAUUUAUUAAAAUAUAUAGGAAACGAUUCUUACAGUCAGUUGCAAAUGCAUUAGAUUCACUCCGGGAGAUCCGAAAACAUAUCCUAUGGUCUUCCGAAAUAGCUAUAAACUAAUUCUAAUAAACGUGUUGAUGUAAUCUAAUAACAUUUUAUUAUUCGAAUUAUCACCAUGUUUUAUAUCUCACUUUAGUGGUCGG